rnacentral:rRNA from 1 species
AGCGAACGCUGGCGGCAGGCCUAACACAUGCAAGUCGAACGAAGUCUUCGGACUUAGUGGCGGACGGGUGAGUAACACGUGGGAACGUGCCUUUAGGUUCGGAAUAACUCAGGGAAACUUGUGCUAAUACCGAAUGUGCCCUUCGGGGGAAAGAUUUAUCGCCUUUAGAGCGGCCCGCGUCUGAUUAGCUGGUUGGUGAGGUAAUGGCUCACCAAGGCUACGAUCAGUAGCUGGUCUGAGAGGAUGACCAGCCACAUUGGGACUGAGACACGGCCCAAACUCCUACGGGAGGCAGCAGUGGGGAAUCUUGCGCAAUGGGCGAAAGCCUGACGCAGCCAUGCCGCGUGGAUGAUGAAGGUCUUAGGAUUGUAAAAUCCUUUCACCGGUGAAGAUAAUGACUGUAGCCGGAGAAGAAGCCCCGGCUAACAUCGUGCCAGCAGCCGCAGUAACAC